GCGAAUCGAUGGGAGCUUGCUCCCUGAGAUUAGCGGCGGACGGGUGAGUAACACGUGGGCAACCUGCCUAUAAGACUGGGAUAACUUCGGGAAACCGGAGCUAAUACCGGAUACGUUCUUUUCUCGCAUGAGAGAAGAUGGAAAGACGGUUUACGCUGUCACUUAUAGAUGGGCCCGCGGCGCAUUAGCUAGUUGGUGAGGUAAUGGCUCACCAAGGCGACGAUGCGUAGCCGACCUGAGAGGGUGAUCGGCCACACUGGGACUGAGACACGGCCCAGACUCCUACGGGAGGCAGCAGUAGGGAAUCUUCCGCAAUGGACGAAAGUCUGACGGAGCAACGCCGCGUGAACGAAGAAGGCCUUCGGGUCGUAAAGUUCUGUUGUUAGGGAAGAACAAGUACCAGAGUAACUGCUGGUACCUUGACGGUACCUAACCAGAAAGCCACGGCUAACUACGUGCCAGCAGCCGCGGUAAUACGUAGGUGGCAAGCGUUGUCCGGAAUUAUUGGGCGUAAAGCGCGCGCAGGUGGUUCCUUAAGUCUGAUGUGAAAGCCCACGGCUCAACCGUGGAGGGUCAUUGGAAACUGGGGAACUUGAGUGCAGAAGAGGAAAGUGGAAUUCCAAGUGUAGCGGUGAAAUGCGUAGAGAUUUGGAGGAACACCAGUGGCGAAAGCGACUUUCUGGUCUGUAACUGACACUGAGGCGCGAAAGCGUGGGGAGCAAAC
rnacentral:rRNA from 2 species